rnacentral:rRNA from 1 species
UAAGGAAUAUUGGACAAUGGUCGCAAGACUGAUCCAGCCAUGCCGCGUGCAGGAUGAAGGCCCUAUGGGUUGUAAACUGCUUUUGUACGGGAAAAAACCCCUGAUCGUGAUCGGGGCUGAUGGUACCGUAAGAAUAAGGAUCGGCUAACUCCGUGCCAGCAGCCGCGGUAAUACGGAGGAUCCAAGCGUUAUCCGGAUUUAUUGGGUUUAAAGGGUGCGUAGGCGGGAUAAUAAGUCAGUGGUGAAAGCUCAUCGCUUAACGAUGGAAUUGCCAUUGAUACUGUUAACCUUGAGUGUGUUUGAAGUGGGCGGAAUGUGCAGUGUAGCGGUGAAAUGCUUAGAUAUUGCACAGAACACCAAUUGCGAAGGCAGCUCACUAAACCAUAACUGACGCUGAGGC